rnacentral:tRNA from 1 species
GCCUGAUAGGUAGCGGUUAUCACUCCGGAUUCUGAUAUCUCUCAGAGUCUUCCGGCAACCCCGGUUCGAUUCCGGGCAAGACC